ACAGUAAAAAAUUCCCAGCAAAUCAAGAGGCACGUGAUACAAAUUAUACAAAUUUGAAAGAACCAUUCCAGUAUAGGAAAUGCAUAGUGUUUUAAAGAAGGAAGAAAGUGAAAUUAUGGACUCAAAAACCAGGAGAUGCAUGUAGAAAAUGCAGCAGUGGGAGAGAAUAUACACCAAAUGAUGGACAUUAAAAAAAUAACCUCUACUAAAAAGCCAACGUGUCUUUGCCUUGGUGAUGCUACCAGAGCUAGCUCUAACUGAAUAUACUUCUUUUAUUUCCAGAUUAUGAAAUUUUUACAGGCAUUAUGAGCUCCUGACACCUCUCUGCCAAGUCUGAACUUUCUUGAAUGCAUCAUGGGCAAGUACUGGAAGCAGAGAAUGUGACUUUGCCCCUAUAUUGAAGCAAGGUUCUGUGAUAUUGUCCCUCUUCAGUGAAUACACAGAAGACUUGAUUCUUCU